rnacentral:misc_RNA from 1 species
CGUCGAACUCUUGGCGAUCGGACUCUGCGCUGAAGAGGGAUGACCGUGUCCAGGGGUGCUGAAGUAGCCGCCAGCUUUUGGUUUGAUGUGCCUGUUAUGCAUUUCCAUGUGCACAAUUUUCAUGAACUCAAUUUGAGCUGCCAACUUCUGAAUCUCUUCCUGGGGAUCGAAGUUGGUGAAUUGUCCGGAGAGUUUUCGUUAAACAAUGGCCGGUCUAAUCUGGAUCGAAAAUUUAUACGGGGGGAAUAAACG